CAUGACACGCACUAAACUAAAGAUACACAGGAAAGAAGACUUCCAGAAUUGUUUCAGAAAAUUGUAAGAAAAACAGGAUGAGUGUGUUGGAAGGAAAGAUGUGCUUCUAAAAAAAGGAAAUACAACCUAAAGGAAUAAUAGAGAAGCAAGAAAUAAUGAUAAAUAAAGGAACUGACAAACAUUCGGGUAAGAAGUAAAGCCUAAAGUUGAAUAACUUUUCCAGAGUCACAGACAGUAAGUGGCAGAGAUGGAUUUAACCAUUUCAAGCAGACUCUGUCUCUCACUUGCUGAGAAGCCCACAUGGCAAGAAACUGGGGCAUUAGUGAUCAAGAGGGCAACUAAAGACAUCAGCACAACAGCCAGGAAGAAACUGAAUCCUGCCAGCAUCCACCAAAUAAGCCUACAAGCAGGUACUGCCCUAAGUGACCAUGUAAAUGAUACAUACACUACUGUGAUGGUAGCCCUGAGAAAACUCCAAAACAGCUAAGCUCGGCAGUGAUUUCUGGUCCACUGUGAGACUGUGAGAUAAUAAAU
ensembl:lncRNA